UGUAGAUUCAUCAAUUAGGCACUGCAUCAGCACAUGGUGUAGCCUCUGCACUGGUUUGGUUAAGUCUAAAUUAAAUAGAUAAAUGUAGAUAAAGUUAAGGAUAGGUAGGUUUAAAGUUAAGAGUUAAGUUACUUUAAGUAAGGCGUAAGCGUAGCCCACCUCACUUCGUUACUUUGGCACAGGUUACUUUAAGUAAGGCGUAAGCGUAGCCCACCUCACUUCGUUACUUUGGCACAACACCAUCUCAGCCAUUUUCUUUCACUGUGUUACCCAAUUUUUAACUGUAGUCGCCGUUCACAAACCAAUUUUCUACAAACAAUUGUACGUUUCUUCUUUUUCAGGUUUUUUUUCUCCAAUGUAACUGUAACUUGAGUAAUUGAUCCUGUUAAAAUUAAGUUGAAACUUGUUGCUGUUCAAAUAUUCAAAAAUUUCUUCUUUAUCUUUUGCUUCCUUGCAAUCACGAGGGCAAUCUUUGGGACCAAAGAGGACACUGGACAAAGAUCACCAUUGCAGCCACUGAAAUGUCGCCCUGGGUUUUGAGAUAUAUAUUUCCAAAUUUAGUAUCUGUUUAUUGUGUGCUAUGUUUUAAAUUAAUGUUGUGUACCUAGUAGGGCUAUAUUACUGAAGAGGACCUGUGAACAGUGAGGGUCACUGCCAAGAUCCUAGCCCAAAAUUGCAAGGAGGGCUAGCAACACCACCAAGGAGGAUUACUGGACCUCGGGAUUGCUGCUGAAGUUGCCAAAGAUUGUCAAGUAUUACCUUAACAAUCAGAUUUAUCACCAAGGUGGUCAACGAUAUUAACGAAGGAGUAUCCGUGGACAACGAGGUUCGCCGCCAGUCAAGAUCAUUGCCAAGCAUUUGUCAGGUGUUUACCUUAAACAUUGAAAUACCUAAUCAUAUUUGCUUUUUGUCAUUUUAGGAGGGUCUUUAGCACCACCAAGGAAGAACAACUAGGAUGGCCCAUGGGUGUACCAUUAUUUACUGCCAAUGUCUUCAAGAUGGAACCACGACACGACCGAGGGGGACACUGAAUAAUGUGUGUGUGCAAUCAAAAUAUAAUCACCAAGGCUUGAAAGGUAAAUAACCUUUAAAGUUUUAGUAUAUAACCUUGUGUUUUUGUGUGUAUUUAAGAGGGCUGACAGCACAAAUGAGGGAGAUUGCUGUACUCCGAGGAUCGUUGAUGGGCAUUUCGAAAUUAUCGUCAACGUCGUCAAGUUAUUCAUUUUCAAAAUCUUUAUUUGUUAUUUGUGUCUGUUGUUUUUUUGUUUUUUUUCAAUUUAAAUAGGAGAUCCACUACACUACCGAAGAGAACCACUGAACAAUGAGGGGAAUUAAGUAAACUUUACUUACCAGAAUGUUCGGAGGCACCAGAAAUUGUCAUCAGUGGUCUCAUGACAUAACCGAAGAACAUCACUAGACAAUUAGGAUUAUCGCCAACCAUUAUAAGGGGAUAUCCACUACACUGUCGAAGAGGACACCUGGACAACGAGGAGAAUCAAGUAAAGUUUACUUACCAGAAUGUUCAGGAGGCAUCAGAAAUUGCCAUUAGAUAAGUGGGCUCACGACAUAACCGAAGAACAUCACUGAACAAUUAUGAUUAUCGCCAACCAUUAUAAGACGGCUACAGAGGAGAGAUACCUGGCAUUGUGGAUGUUUAGCCCAGUACUUCAAGCUCACAAGAAGGGUGGAAAAUAGCAGAUGAAACGGGCACAUUUAAUUCCUUUUCCUUACCACUAUUUUCCAUUGAAGUACUGUGGGUUAUGGUUUCAACUUCAAUGAGCACGUAAAUUCACUACACCUUUGCACCGUGGUUCUUUUACUGCUUUUGUUAGCUAUAAUGUACAGGUUAGGGUUGUUUGUAUUUAGUUUAUGUAGUCCAGCUUGCAUCGGUAUCACACUUGGUGUUUAGUUGGUGUAUUUUCAUUAAUACUAAUUGCUUUCAACAUAAAAACAGUACAAAAUCAAUUGAUUUGAUUUGUGUCUACUUCUUUGUUAUGAAUAUGGAACAGUGGAGAAUAAAACAAUAACAAUUUAUAGUGGGUUAUCGGGUUGUUCACCGUGAUACGAUAAUUUGAUAAAUGUUUGACGGGGCAACAACCCGGCAUUCA